rnacentral:rRNA from 1 species
CACCCUUAGGUUUCCAGAAGAGUUUUUUACUUUAAAUUAUAUAUUAAAAUUUAAAAUAUAAAUACAAUUUUGGAAUAUAAUCGUAUUGAGGGCCCUCCCUGCCCGGUGAAUGAAAGCUAAUAUUUUCAUUUUAACGGCUGCGGUAUCCUGACCGUACAAAGGUAGCAUAAUCAUUUGCCUUUUUAUUGGAGGCUAGUAUGAAUGGGAAGACUUAGUCUAGCUGUCUCAGUGUUAGUUGUGACAAAUUAACUUAUUAGUGAAGAGGCUAAUAUUUUAGAGUAGGACGAGAAGACCCCUGAAAAGCUUAUUUUAAUGUGUAAAAAAUUAUUAAUUAAAUCAUUAAACUUUAUUUUAAGAAUAAAUUAUAAACAAUUCUACUACAUACAAGUAUUAUUUUUAUAUAUUAGAAUUUAACUGGGGCGGUUAUUGGUAAAAAUCUAUCUACCAAAUUUUAAAUUUAAUUUAUUGGUGUUUAUAAAAUCUAAUAAAAUAUAUUUAUUAGCUUAAAUUUUACAAAAUAAAAUAUUUUAAUAAUUAAAAAUGCUUAAUAACACCAAAAACUUUAAUUUUAGUAAGAUCCAAUUUAAUAAAUAUUACUUUUAAAAGUUAAAAUAUAAUACUAAAUUGAAAAAUCGAAAAUUUAAAGUUACUAAGGGGAUAACAGAAAAAUUUAAUAAGUGAGUUCUUAUUGCUUAUUAUAGCUUUUUACCUCGAUGUUGGACUAGGGUUGACCUCUUUGGAGUAGCCGCUAAAGUUGGAAGUCUGUUCGACUUUUAAAUCCCU